GCGGAGACGGACAUGGCGGGGGCGGCGCCCACGCGCAGACAAGAUGGCGGUGCGUCUGCUGAGGAGGGCGGCGCGCGGAGCGGCGGCAGCGGCGCUGCCGAGGCUGAAAGCAUCUCUGGCAGCUGAUGUGUCCAGGCUUGGGUACAGUUCCUCACCCAAUCACAAAUACAUUCCCCGAAGGGCAGUGCUCUAUGUACCUGGAAAUGAUGAAAAGAAAAUUAAGAAGAUUCCCUCUCUGAAUGUGGAUUGUGCAGUCCUCGACUGUGAGGAUGGUGUGGCUGUGAACAAAAAGGAUGAAGCUCGAUUGAGAAUAGUAAAAACUCUUGAAGACUUUGAUCUGGGCCCAACUGAAAAGUGUGUAAGAAUCAACUCAGUGUCCAGUGGUCUGGCCGAAGAAGACCUGCAGGCCCUCCUGCAGUCCCGGGUCCUUCCUUCCAGCCUGAUGCUCCCGAAGGUAGAAGAUCCUGAAGAAAUCCAGUGGUUUUCAGACAAAUUUUCAUUCUACUUACAAGGCCGAAAACUUGAACAACCUAUGAAUUUAAUCCCUUUUGUGGAAACUGCAAUGGGUUUACUCAAUUUUAAGGCAGUGUGUGAAGAAGCACUGAAGAACGGGCCUCAAGUGGGUCUUUUUCUAGAUGCAGUCGUUUUUGGAGGAGAAGACUUUCGAGCCAGCAUAGGUGCAACAAGUAGUAAGGAGACCCAAGAUAUUCUCUACGCCCGACAAAAGAUUAUUGUUGUAGCAAAGGCCUUCGGUCUGCAGGCCAUAGACCUGGUGUACAUCGACUUCCAGGAUGGAGAGGGGCUUCUCAAGCAGUCGAGAGAAGGAGCUGCAAUGGGAUUUACUGGUAAGCAGGUGAUACACCCUAACCAAAUUGCAGUGGUCCAGGAGCAGUUUUCUCCUUCCCCUGAAAAAAUUAAGUGGGCGGAAGAACUGAUUGCUGCCUUUGAAGAACAUCAACAAUUAGGAAAGGGAGCCUUUACUUUCCGAGGGAGUGUGAUCGACAUGCCAUUACUGAAGCAGGCCCAGAACAUUGUUAGGCUUGCCAUAUCCAUCAAGGAAAAAUUGAUCUGCUAAAUGAAGCUCUCAUCAGCUGCCUGCCUCAGAGACAGUGCCUGACCCUGGCAAGGGCACGUGAACUCAUCACAGUUCAAACAGCCGGUCAUCCGGUGCAGCCGGGGAGCUGGGCAACCAGGCAAGUCCAACCUCGAGGAAAGAAAGUGGUGUGGUCGUCUCCUCUUCCUGAGAAUUCUCCCUGGCACACACAGCUUGGAAUUUGCUUUGCCGGCCACAUGGUGCUUGCAGGAUCUUCGUUCCCCCACCAGGGAUCGAACCCAGGCCCAAGGCAGUGAAAGCGCCGAGUCCUAUCCACUGGACCACCAGGGAAUUCCCAAUCAUGUCAUUUUAUUUAUUUAUUUAUUUAUUUAUUUAUUUAUCUACUUAUUUAUUUUUUGGGUCUUCGUUGCUGCGCGCGGGCUUUCUCUAGUUGCAGCAAGCCAGGGCUAC